rnacentral:rRNA from 7 species
GACUCUCGGCAACGGAUAUCUCGGCUCUCGCAUCGAUUAAGAACGUAGCAAAAUGCGAUACCUGGUGUGAAUUGCAGAAUCCCGCGAACCAUCGAGUUUUUGAACGCAAGUUGCGCCCGAAGCCUUCUGGCGGAGGGCACGUCUGCCUGGGCGUCA